rnacentral:rRNA from 1 species
GAUGAACGCUGGCGGCGUGCCUAAUACAUGCAAGUCGAACGCUUUGUGGUUCAACUGAUUUGAAGAGCUUGCUCAGAUAUGACGAUGGACAUUGCAAAGAGUGGCGAACGGGUGAGUAACACGUGGGAAACCUACCUCUUAGCAGGGGAUAACAUUUGGAAACAGAUGCUAAUACCGUAUAACAAUGACAACCGCAUGGUUGUUAUUUAAAAGAUGGUUCUGCUAUCACUAAGAGAUGGUCCCGCGGUGCAUUAGCUAGUUGGUAAGGUAAUGGCUUACCAAGGCGAUGAUGCAUAGCCGAGUUGAGAGACUGAUCGGCCACAAUGGGACUGAGACACGGCCCAUACUCCUACGGGAGGCAGCAGUAGGGAAUCUUCCACAAUGGGCGAAAGCCUGAUGGAGCAACGCCGCGUGUGUGAUGAAGGGUUUCGGCUCGUAAAACACUGUUGUAAGAGAAGAAUGACAUUGAGAGUAACUGUUCAAUGUGUGACGGUAUCUUACCAGAAAGGAACGGCUAAAUACGUGCCAGCAGCCGCGGUAAUACGUAUGUUCCAAGCGUUAUCCGGAUUUAUUGGGCGUAAAGCGAGCGCAGACGGUUAUUUAAGUCUGAAGUGAAAGCCCUCAGCUCAACUGAGGAAUUGCUUUGGAAACUGGAUGACUUGAGUGUAGUAGAGGAAAGUGGAACUCCAUGUGUAGCGGUGAAAUGCGUAGAUAUAUGGAAGAACACCAGUGGCGAAGGCGGCUUUCUGGACUGUAACUGACGUUGAGGCUCGAAAGUGUGGGUAGCAAACAGGAUUAGAUACCCUGGUAGUCCACACCGUAAACGAUGAGUGCUAGGUGUUUGAGGGUUUCCGCCCUUAAGUGCCGCAGCUAACGCAUUAAGCACUCCGCCUGGGGAGUACGACCGCAAGGUUGAAACUCAAAGGAAUUGACGGGGACCCGCACAAGCGGUGGAGCAUGUGGUUUAAUUCGAAGCAACGCGAAGAACCUUACCAGGUCUUGACAUCCCUUGACAACUCCAGAGAUGGAGUGUUCCCUUCGGGGACAAGGUGACAGGUGGUGCAUGGUUGUCGUCAGCUCGUGUCGUGAGAUGUUGGGUUAAGUCCCGCAACGAGCGCAACCCUUAUUACUAGUUGCCAGCAUUCAGUUGGGCACUCUAGUGAGACUGCCGGUGACAAACCGGAGGAAGGUGGGGAUGACGUCAAAUCAUCAUGCCCCUUAUGACCUGGGCUACACACGUGCUACAAUGGCGUAUACAACGAGUUGCCAACCCGCGAGGGUGAGCUAAUCUCUUAAAGUACGUCUCAGUUCGGAUUGUAGGCUGCAACUCGCCUACAUGAAGUCGGAAUCGCUAGUAAUCGCGGAUCAGCACGCCGCGGUGAAUACGUUCCCGGGUCUUGUACACACCGCCCGUCACACCAUGAGAGUUUGUAACACCCAAAGCCGGUGGGGUAACCUUCGGGAGCCAGCCGUCUAAGGUGGGACAGAUGAUUAGGGUG